UCAGUUUUCUGACUUUGACAUUGUACUGCAGUUGUAUAGGACGUUAACCUUGGAGGAAGCUGGAGGAUGGGUACCUGGGACCACCCUGUACAUUUCUUUGCAUCUUCCUAUGAAUCUGUAAUUGUCUCAGAAUAAAAAGACCUUUUAAAAAACUUAAUACCA